rnacentral:rRNA from 1 species
CCUACGGGAGGCAGCAGUGGGGAAUAUUGCACAAUGGGCGAAACCCUGAUGCAGCGACGCCGCGUGAGUGAAGAAGUAUCUCGGUACGGAAAGCUUCAUCAGCAGGGAAGAAAAUGACGGUACCUGACUCAGAAGCCCCGGCUAACUACGUGCCAGCAGCCGCGGUAAUACGGAGGGGGCCAGCGUUAUCCGGAUUUACUGGGUGUAAAGGGAGCGUAGACGGCAGGACAAGUCUGGAGUGAAAUCCUGGGGCUUAACCUCGAAACUGCAUUUGAAACUGUGCGGCUUGAGUACAGGAGAGGUAGGCGGAAUUCGUAGUGUAGCGGUGAAAUGCGUAGAUAUUACGAGGAACACCGAUGGCGAAGGCAGCUUACUAGACUGUAACUGACGUUGAUGCUCGAAAGCGUGGGGAGCAAACAGGAUUAGAUACCCCUGUAGUC